rnacentral:rRNA from 1 species
CCGUGCCACCCUGAACACACCUGAGCUCAGAAGCUAAGCAGGAUCAAGCCUGGUUAGUACUUGGAUGAGAGACCACCUGGGAAUACUAUGUAUGCAUGGU